UUACACAUGCAAGUCGAGCGGAGNGAGGNGCUUGCACCUUAUCUUAGCGGCGGACGGGUGAGUAAUGCUUAGGAAUCUGCCUAUUAGUGGGGGACAACAUUCCGAAAGGAAUGCUAAUACCGCAUACGUCCUACGGGAGAAAGCAGGGGAUCUUCGGACCUUGCGCUAAUAGAUGAGCCUAAGUCGGAUUAGCUAGUUGGUGGGGUAAAGGCCUACCAAGGCGACGAUCUGUAGCGGGUCUGAGAGGAUGAUCCGCCACACUGGGACUGAGACACGGCCCAGACUCCUACGGGAGGCAGCAGUGGGGAAUAUUGGACAAUGGGGGGAACCCUGAUCCAGCCAUGCCGCGUGUGUGAAGAAGGCCUUAUGGUUGUAAAGCACUUUAAGCGAGGAGGAGGCUACUGAGACUAAUACUCUUGGAUAGUGGACGUUACUCGCAGAAUAAGCACCGGCUAACUCUGUGCCAGCAGCCGCGGUAAUACAGAGGGUGCGAGCGUUAAUCGGAUUUACUGGGCGUAAAGCGUGCGUAGGCGGCUUUUUAAGUCGGAUGUGAAAUCCCCCGAGCUUAACUUGGGAAUUGCAUUCGAUACUGGGAAGCUAGAGUAUGGGAGAGGAUGGUAGAAUUCC
rnacentral:rRNA from 1 species